GAUGAACGCUGGCGGCGUGCCUAACACAUGCAAGUCGAACGAAGCACUUUAUUACGAUUUCUUCGGAAUGACGAUUUGGUGACUGAGUGGCGGACGGGUGAGUAACGCGUGGAUAACCUGCCCCAUACAGGGGGAUAACAGUUAGAAAUGACUGCUAAUACCGCAUAAGCGCACAGUAUCGCAUGAUACGGUGUGAAAAACUCCGGUGGUAUGGGAUGGAUCCGCGUCUGAUUAGCCAGUUGGCGGGGUAGAGGCCCACCAAAGCGACGAUCAGUAGCCGACCUGAGAGGGUGACCGGCCACAUUGGGACUGAGACACGGCCCAAACUCCUACGGGAGGCAGCAGUGGGGAAUAUUGCACAAUGGGGGAAACCCUGAUGCAGCGACGCCGCGUGAGCGAAGAAGUAUUUCGGUAUGUAAAGCUCUAUCAGCAGGGAAGAAGAAUGACGGUACCUGACUAAGAAGCUCCGGCUA
rnacentral:rRNA from 1 species